CCUCCGCCCCGGGCUCCUUCUGCGGCGCGGCGGUGAACUCUGCAGCUGCUCCUGCGCCUUCUCCAGCUGCAAUGGGCAAAGGGCGCUGGAUGGGGAACAAUUUAUUGCGAUCUUCCCCUUCACAACUGAGCUGAAAGACUGCUAGCAUGUGAGAGAUCAUGAAAAUGGGAGAAGGUGCAGAAGAGAACCACAAACAAUUUGAGGACUGGAGAAAAUGCCUUCCACUGAGACUUAGAGGUCAGUCUUAAGGUGUGUUUUUUUUUUUUUUUGGAUAAAAACAUUGAGGUGACUGGAUUAGUUUGUAGUAUUUGUUUCUAGCAGAUAUUUAACAUCCUAUUACGAUGGUUAGAAAUUACUUCCUUACCCGUAUGAGUACAUCAUCCUGCUUCUUGCCAACCAGAACAUGUGUUUUUUUAAAAACACCAUACUUGUGUUUAGCAUGAACAAUUUUACCAUCUCCAUCUAGUAAUGGCCUAAACCAUUUCUAGGAUUUCUUUUAUUCCUAGCAUACUUAAAGACAGAGGAAAUUCCAUGGCUAGCAGAGAUAAGGAUAAAGUAUUUAACUUCCUUUUCAGUAUUUCAUAACUAAUUUUACAUUGCUAUUUGGUAUAUAUUGCUUUAAUUUCUAAUUGCAACCUUCACUUUGCCAUUUUAUCAGGAUAAGCUUUUAUCCAAAGUUGUCCUACCUUGAUAGUGGAAUCAUGGGGUUUUUUUGGGGCCAUCUAAUAAACGCUUCUUAAAAGAACUCCCAAAUAUCUCUCAAUCACUCAUUUUUAACACAGAAGUACAUUUCAACCAUGAUGAAUAAGCAAGAAACAAUGGUAUUGCAUGGUUCCUUAUUCAUUUUUCCUCAUGUGCAUCAAGCUUGCUCAGUUUUGCAAGGAAACACUUCACUACUAGCCCAGUAGAACUUAUCUUGGGCUGUAGUGGACUAUCAAGCUGGGUUUCCAUCUCGUGCAUCACUGGUAAUAAAGUUAUUGUGGAUCAAAUUGUGUCCUCUGUCACCCAUGCAACCUCAGUCUAUAGUGGGAGUGGAUAGGUGACGCUGAGGGAAUAACUUGCCCUCCAGAGUCCUGCUGGUGACUGGAGGAAAAUAUUCAGCUGGUGUGUCAGAGCCCAAGGUGAGAGUUCUGGCAGUUAAGAAAAAAAAUCUGCAAACUGAGCAAGUCUGAUUAUGCAAAGGAGCAAGACAAACUAUAGAACCCUUACAAUAGCAUGCAUCAUUUUUGUAUCUGAAGUUAUAAAUAUGAUUAUGUAUCUGUACUUCAAAUGCGUUUACACCUGGGUAACGCCCAUUAGAAACAGCCUCAAACCUUCUCUAAAUAGUAGGAAGCUGAACACUUUAUACCAACUGUAUUCUUGCAUUAGGUGGUCAUACAUUUUUGGCCAUUUGGCACAUCUCUUUUCAU